rnacentral:lncRNA from 1 species
UUCAGAACACUAUUUCAAAGAAAUGUUUCAUCACCACGGUUUACUGUAGUUAAAUCUGAAGAAAUACAGUAUUCUCAGGGAACUCAUUUCCAUCAAGCUAGGAAUUCCGUGGGCUUAAUACCAAGGUGGAGGAUUCCACACGAAAGCACCUGCAACAAACGACCUGCACUAAACGACGGGUUACCCCGGAAGAGGCACAGCAAUUAUCCUCUCCAAGCUGCAGUCGGCUUUCCUUGAAGCUUCCAUUAAAUCAGAGCUCCACUUUAACGGGGGGCAGGACGGCGGCCCGGUGUUCAGAAGCGUGCAUAACAAGGUGAACAGAGGGUUUCUGAUAUCUUGCCCCCUUGGGUUGCGGAGUUAAUUGGCAGCGACCGUGAUCCCGCCGUUGCCUCUCCGUC